rnacentral:lncRNA from 1 species
UUUGGAUGAAAGGAAUACUCGUAUUCUAGAAUAAUUUUGCUUUAUUUAGUAGUUUCUUGCCGUGUCCAGUGUUGUUCGGUACUCACUCCUUGCUUCUAAACUUAUGUAGGUUCCGAGCCUAGAUCCGUGUAAUUGCUCUUCUUCUUCUCCCUCCUCCGUGGCUCAAUAAGGAUUCUUAGAGGUAGUUGCUUGUCAUCCUGG